AUGGUGUUGUUGGAUCAUCCAACAGAUGCUGAACUUCUCAAUUCCCCACUUGAGAACUAGAACUAUAUGGAAAAUUGCUUUGCUAAUAAGCAAGCCACCGGGAAUUAUGCAAUGGCCACCGGUGUGCCACUGGGAACGCCUAUUGUUGUGGAAGACAAAGAUAAACCCAUUGUCAUGGAGGGGCAUGGAACAACUAAUGAGGUAUUACAACAUCUUCCUGGGUCUAGCUCCGUACUUCCAACUGCUAGUGCCACUCAGGACCCUUCACCUACUUCAAAUAAGAAGAGAAAGAGGGCAUCAUGUUUGACUGAGGAAGACACAAUCCAGUGCAGCAACAACACUUGCCAUGCUGAAACACACCCUGACUUGUACAAGACUGUCAUGGACCUUAUUGUGUUUGAUCAAGAUGAUCGCUUAGCUGUUCUAGAUUAUCUCACAAAACAUAAGGCAAAAAGCCUCAACUUUGUGAAGAUGAAUGAUGAAGUCCGUAAAAGCAUCGUUCAAACGUAUCUUGAAAGCCAAUCCUGA
rnacentral:rRNA from 1 species